AUUGAACGCUGGCGGCAGGCCUAACACAUGCAAGUCGAGCGGAUGAAGGGAGCUUGCUCCUGGAUUCAGCGGCGGACGGGUGAGUAAUGCCUAGGAAGCUGCCUGGUAGUGGGGGAUAACGUCGGGAAACGGGCGCUAAUACCGCAUACGUCCUGAGAGAGAACGCGGGGGAUCUUCGGACCUCACGCUAUCAGAUGAGCCUAGGUCGGAUUAGCUAGUUGGUGGGGUAAAGGCCUACCAAGGCGACGAUCCGUAACUGGUCUGAGAGGAUGAUCAGUCACACUGGAACUGAGACACGGUCCAGACUCCUACGGGAGGCAGCAGUGGGGAAUAUUGGACGAUGGGCGAAAGCCUGAUCCAGCAAUGCCGCGUGUGUGAAGAAGGUCUUCGGAUUGUAAAGCACUUUAAGUUGGGAGGAAGGGCAGUAAGUUAAUACCUUGCUGUUUUGACGGUACCAACAGAAUAAGCACCGGCUAACUUCGUG
rnacentral:rRNA from 1 species